CCCAGCACACCAGAAAGACCUCCCGGACAGACUGGAACCAACUGCCGGACACGCCGGAACCACAUCCCGGACAGACCGGAAUCACCUGGCAAACCCGCCUGAACCACCUGCCGAGCAUGACGGAACCACCUGCUCGACUCACCGGAACCACCUUCCGGACACGCCAAAAUCACUGGCCAGCUACGCCACAACCACUUGGCGGACUCUCCGGAAUCACCUGCCUGGCAUGCCGGAACCACCUCUCAGACGUGCCAGAACCACAUGACAGACACCCCGGAACCACCUCCCAGACAGACUGGAAAAACCUGCCAGACACGCAUGAACCACAAGCCGAGCACGCCGGGAACCACCUGCUUGACUCGCAGGAACCACCUGCCGAACAUGCCAAAAUCACCUUCCAGCUAGGCCAGAACCACUUGGCGGACACUCCGGAGAUAACCAGCCGGGCAUGCCGAAACCACCUCUCAACUGUGCCAGGACCACCUGUCAGACAAGCUGGAACGUCCGCCAGACAUGCCUGAACCACCUGCCGGACACGCCAAAAUCACCUGCCGACUACGCCAGAACCACUUGAGAGACACUAUGUAAUCAUCGGCCGGGCAUGCCGGAACCACCUCUCAGAGGUGCCAGAACCACGUGCCGGACACACCAGAACCACCUGCCGAGCACGCCAGAACCACAUGCUCGACUUGCCGGAACCAGCUGCCAGACAUGCCAAAAUCACCUGCCGGCUACGCCAGAACCACUUGGUGGACUCUCCAGAAUCACCUGACGGGCAUGCCGGAACCACCUCUCAGACGUGCCAGAAGCAGGUGCCGGACACGCCGGAACCACCUCCAGGACAGACCGGAACCACCUGCCAGACCUGACUGAACCACCUGCAGAGCACACCGGAACCACCUUCUCCACUCGCCAGAAUGACAGGUUCUUCAGAUGUGGUUCAAGGGAGUCUCCAUGUGGUUCCUGCAUGGCUCACAAAUGGUUCGGGUGUAAUUCUGGAGUGGAUCUCACACGACUCGUCUGGGUCACAUAUGGUUGAGGGUAUUCUUACACAUGGUUCAGGCGGAGAUCAGCCAUGGCUCACACGUGACACAGACGUGCCACGGAACUGGCUGCCUUGUGGCUGACACAUGAUACAGGCUUUGGUCACGCAUGGCUCACACAUGGUUCAGGUGUGGCUCAUGCAUGUCUGUGGUGUUAGGCAGGCGUGGCUCACAUGUGUUUUUGGCAUUGGUGGCACGUGAUUCAGGCAUGGCAGGCAAGUUGUGCCAGUGUGGCUGACACGUGCUUCAAGUGAGGCUGACCUGUGGUUCAAAUGUGUCUGGCACUUGGUUCAGGCCUGGCUGGCAUGUGACUGGGCGUGGCUGAGCCUUGACACAGGCGUGGUUCACACGUUGUUCAGGCGUGGCUGACACAUGAGUCAGGUGAGGUGCAAACGUGACACAGGUGUGCCUGACACAUCACGCAGUUGUGGUUCACACAUGGUCCAUGCAUGGCCUUCAUGUGGUUCAGGGGUGGCUGGUGCAUGGUGCACACAUGGGUGGCAGCUGGAUCAGGCGUGGCUGAAAUGUGACUCCGGCAUGUGUGAAAUAGGACUCUGGUGUGGCUGACACAUGUGUCAGGCAUGGCUGAUAUGUGACUCAGGCAUUCAUUGCCCAGUAUCCAUGUGUGUUGGAAAUGUCAUCAGGCAGGAGUCACAUGCCGUGCAUGGGUGGCUCCCACGUGACUAUAGGUUGCUGAAACGUGGCUCCCACAUACUCACUCAUGGCUGCCAAUUGGCUAACGCAUGGCUGAGCUGUGUUUCACGGGUGGCAGCCCUGAGGUUCAUGCAUGGUUCAAGCAUGCAAACUGUGUGUUUCACAGGUUCUUCAGAUAGGGUUCAAGUGUGUCUCCCAUG
ensembl:lncRNA